rnacentral:rRNA from 1 species
GGCUCAGGAUGAACGCUAGCGACAGGCCUAACACAUGCAAGUCAGGGGCAGCACAAGGAGCAAUCUGAGGUGGCGACCGGCGCACGGGUGAGUAACACGUAUGCAACCUGCCUGUAAGCGGGGAAUAACCCGUUGAAAGACGGACUAAUACCGCAUAAUACUAAAUUACUGCAUGGUAAUUUAUUUAAACAUUUAUGGCUUACAGAUGGGCAUGCGCAUGAUUAGCUAGUUGGAGAGGUAACGGCUCCCCAAGGCAACGAUCAUUAGGGGUUCUGAGAGGAAGGUCCCCCCACACUGGUACUGAGACACGGACCAGACUCCUACGGGAGGCAGCAGUGAGGAAUAUUGGUCAAUGGACGAGAGUCUGAACCAGCCAAGUCGCGUGCAGGAAGAAUUGUCCUAUGGAUUGUAAACUGCUUUUGCAGGGGAAUAAAGUGCAUCACGUGUGAUGUUUUGUAUGUACUCUGCGAAUAAGGAUCGGCUAACUCCGUGCCAGCCGCCGC